rnacentral:rRNA from 1 species
UGCAAGUCGAGCGGAAACGAAGAGGUGCUUGCACCUCUGGCGUCGAGCGGCGGACGGGUGAGUAAUGCUUGGGAAUAUGCCUUAUGGUGGGGGACAACAGUUGGAAACGACUGCUAAUACCGCAUGAUGUCUACGGACCAAAGUGGGGACCUUCGGGCCUCACGCCAUAAGAUUAGCCCAAGUGGGAUUAGCUAGUUGGUGAGGUAAUGGCUCACCAAGGCGACGAUCCCUAGCUGGUUUGAGAGGAUGAUCAGCCACACUGGGACUGAGACACGGCCCAGACUCCUACGGGAGGCAGCAGUGGGGAAUAUUGCACAAUGGGCGCAAGCCUGAUGCAGCCAUGCCGCGUGUGUGAAGAAGGCCUUCGGGUUGUAAAGCACUUUCAGUAAGGAGGAAAGGUUAAGUGUUAAUAGCACUUAGCUGUGACGUUACUUACAGAAGAAGCACCGGCUAACUCCGUGCCAGCAGC